AAACCACGGCUAUGAAACCAUGGUUUAACCAUAGUUUUACAACUGUACAAAAAACUAGGUAACGAAACCAUUUUUAAAAGUUCUACCAAGAUACAAAAACCAUGGUAAAGAAAUCAUGUGCAAACCAUGGUUUUGCCAUGGUUGUAAACCAUGGUAACGAAACUAUAGUUAAAACGAUGGUUUUACCGAGGUUGACAAACUACGGUUACGAAACCAUAGUUAAACCAUGGUUUUAGAAUUGUUCUGAUACCAUAGUUAUAAAAACAUGGUUAAACCAUGGUUUUACCACAAAUCAAACAACGGUCUGACCGUAGUUAACUACACUUUUGACAUGGUCUCAACACGAGUAUUAAAAAAAAUUAAAAAAAACUACUAUCAUGUAACCAAUGUAGUUAUGACCACUAUAUACAUAAUACAUGUAUGACCAGCACUACUCGAUUGUUUUGAUGACCUUGAACUGAUUCGAUAAUAUGGAAUUGUAACAAUUUGCCCCAAAAUAAAUACAAUUAUUAGUGUGUUUGCUGCCAUCUAGUGGUGGAAUGCACACUGUAUUUCCAAUUUUGAAUUUCUUCACUCCAGCCAUUACUUUGCCGUUUCGCCAAAUUUGUCUUCCUUUAAAACCCAGAAUAUAGGGGAUAAGGGUUAGAUUUACACCAGGAAAGAAGAAUUGUACGAGACUAAGAGUAUUCCAGAGCAAGAAUUGGACAACAUGAAGAACUCGAAGUAGAUCUAGAUUUCAAUUUACCAGACAGUCACACUGGUCUACAUACUACAGUACAGUCCCACACAGCCACUCAUGUGUGGGAAAAUAUCGGUCUGCAGAAAACGACCAACUUUGCUUUGCUGCUGGAGCUAUACUUUAAGGUCAACAUUUUCUCCAGGAGGGUAUCUUCGGCUGCGGGAAAGUCAUCAACAUGGACUGUUCCAGUGAACAUGCAGUCUUGAUUUGUAAGACUAAACUGUCCAACAAACUUCACGGAAAUUAUGCAAGACAUGGGUGAGAGUUUGAGAAUUCAUCUGUAUGGGAUCCCUAUAGAGGAGAGCUUUUCAAAAUUAUACCAGUUAUGCUGACCAGCAAACAUUCAGCAAGUACAUCCAGUACAAUCGACCCUGUCACCUUUGUUCGGUCGGAAGGAAUCUGAGAAAGUAAUCUUCAAUACACAGCUUUUUUUCGAGCAAAACUUUUAAAUUUGCCGCACAGAUGUGACGUAUACGCCUCUGUCUGUGUUGUGAGGACCCUACGUCACAAAAAAUGUCGCGCAAUGCAUUGUGAGAGGAACCGGCUCGAUCAUUCACUUGUUUUUUGCUCAUUAAAGCCUUACUGCACUCCUUUUAGCUACUUGCUC